ensembl:lncRNA
UGGACAACGUAUCCAAGGGGAGUAACUUGAGCUUCCAGUGAAAUUUGGAGCAUUGUUGCCAUCGCUCUGAAUAUUCACAUUUCACUGAAAGAAGUCACCAGCAUAGAUGACACCAGGAUAUUGAAGAGCUGAUUCAUUGGGAAAGACCCUGAUGCUGGGAAGAUUGAGGGCAGGAGGAGAAGGGGGUGACAGAGGAUGAGAUUAUUGGAUGGCAUCACUGACUCAAUGGACCCAGUAACUCGUCUUGCCUGUUCACUCAAUGGCAGCCCUGUAUGCCAGCUGCGGUACUGAACUACUGAAC